UGAUAAUGCUAAUUCAAAUCUUCUACUCCUGGAGAUGUACUCUCCUCUGUGGUAUUCAAACUCAAGUCUUGCAGUCUGUUCUCCACUGAAAGUUGUUCGCUGUCGUCUUGGUCUACCUUCUUUUCUCCUUCUCCUGGCAUCUACAACAAUGUAAUCAACGUCAAUACUUUGCAAAUUCUAUGAAAACUUUGUUGAUUGGUGCGUAAAAACGAGUAAGCGUUUGGAAUAUGUGUAUCACGUUUAUUGUUGCGCCAACUGUAAUCCGAUCAAAUUCGACGGACAGUCGACCGACCCAACGAACAGAAGGACUGUCCAGCGAAUUUCAAAGAGAAAGAGAGUGGAAAAAAUAAAUCCAACUAUUUCAUCCGUAAAUUUUCAUUUUUAUUUUUAUUUUUAUGCUGUUCAAUAACUUGUAACAUUAUUUCUUCUAUUGUAAUAUUUUUUACUUUGUAAUAUUUACAUUUUUUUAAAAUCUCUUUUUUGCAUCUAACACCUGGAUGAGUUUUCAAGGGGUAUGAGGGUGGAUCUAAACAAACUUCAAUGAUUAAGUGAUCGCCUGAGGAUAAUUGGAUUGGAUGGGAAAUAAUCAUUAAGAAAACAUCUGACGAGUCUAUUAAAAAAAAUAUUUAAACGAAAAAUUAAACCAAAUAAAGAUGGAUAAGUGAGAUGUUUAAUUUAGGGAUAGAUGUUCUUAAGCAUUUAUCUAUUUAAACAGAAAAUCGUUUCACAAGGUUUAAUUAAAAUACAAAAGUGUAUUGAAAAAUUAUUGAUGGAUGAAUGUUUCAAUUAGAAUAAAUUAAACAUGGAAUCAAAUUUAUUAUCUGCAGUUAAGUAUUAAAUAACUACUUGACAAAAGUAAAGCUUAUUAACCUAAGGCUCUAUUUGCUUCAAGUAUCGUCCUUAUACAUAUGUGCAUAUAAAUAUGCUCACCAAGGCUGAAAGCAUUAAUUUAUUUAAUUUAAUUACUCCAUUUACGAAUAGUAAUUACUAAGAGUUUUACCAACUCGAUGAUUGAAACAAAUCAAAUGACUUUGCAGAAGAAGCUUUUGGUAAUAUUAAUCAAGAAGUUGAUCAUCAUUCAUGAUAUUUUUGAUGAAAUUAUCAAUAAGAAUUCUAGUUAUUUUUAAAUGAAGCUAAUCUGAAGGAAUGGAACACAAAAGUGAUAAUUUUUAUUUUAUAAACAAAAGGAUUGUAACAUGAAUUUGAUGAAAGUGAUAAAGAAGAACGUUUUGAUUACAUCCUGUGUCACAAGUUGAUAUCAUUUUGUUGUGGUUACUUAGUUCGAGGAGGGACAAUUAGGAUCCGGUUUCCAUUUUCACUUGACGAGAUUACGCGAAGCCUCGUGCUUACUAACUUCCGGUAUCGUUUUGCCCCGCAUCCUAAUUAUCAGAAGGGGAUGAAUGGUCGAGUGAUAACAGCAGAAACCGAAGAGAAAGAGGAGGAAGAAGAAGAGGAAGUGGUGUUAUACUCAACAUUGAGAUGCGGCCAACUGCGUUCAGUAAUCUCAUCACAAUAUCGCUGCGAGGUGGCGAGGCGGGAUAAACCCCACAACUACCGCGACUCGCGUCUCUAAGCGAGCGUGUGUAACGUUUAUUUUGUAUAACAAUGAGCUACUAUGCCAAUAGAGAAUAAACUAAGCUAUCAAAAUUGAGAAAAUCCAGCUCAGAAAUCAUCCAACUAAAACUCGUUGAAUUAUUUAAUUAAUUGAUCAUAAAUUAAGGUAAUAUAACAAAAAUGGGUUUUAUGUCGAAAUUAACUAUUAUUGCAGGA